rnacentral:lncRNA from 1 species
GUUCUAUUCGUCCUCUGUCCUGGAAGAUGUGGCUGGGACUAUGAAACUGAAUUAAUCAUGCUCCAUAAUGACAAAGAUCAAGGUGUAGCAUGCCUGGGCAUUGUUGCAGUCAUCAUCUGGCAUCCCAUCCCAUUAGACAGGAAUGGUAGGAAGAGUUUAUGAGAAGGCAUGCCGACCUACAUGAUCCUGCCUGG